ACGGAAGGCAGCAGUGGGGAAUAUUGCACAAUGGGGGAAACCCUGAUGCAGCAACGCCGCGUGAAGGAAGACGGUCUUCGGAUUGUAAACUUCUGUUCUUAGUGAAGAUAAUGACGGUAGCUAAGGAGCAAGCCACGGCUAACUACGUGCCAGCAGCCGCGGUAAUACGUAGGUUGCAAGCGUUGUCCGGAUUUACUGGGUGUAAAGGGCGUGUAGGCGGAGCUGCAAGUCAGAUGUGAAAUCCCGGGGCUCAACCCCGGAACUGCAUUUGAAACUGUAGCCCUUGAGUAUCGGAGAGGCAAGCGGAAUUCCUAGUGUAGCGGUGAAAUGCGUAGAUAUUAGGAGGAACACCAGUGGCGAAGGCGGCUUGCUGGACGACAACUGACGCUGAGGCGCGAAAGCGUGGGGAGCAAACAGGAUUAGAUACCCUGGUA
rnacentral:rRNA from 1 species